AAUGCAGAGGUUCUUUGCCUGAGGAGGGAUGAGGAGCUCGGAGAGCUUCAGCAACUUGCUCAAGAUUGCGCAGCAGACAAAGUUUGCUGACUCCUGGCCUAGCCUAGCUGGAAGGAAACACUGGAAACUGGUGACCUGGCUGGCUGCUCUGGGAGAGGAAGGGACAGCUGAGGGAUGAGCCUCUCUUGAAGGACAUUAGGGGAAUCUAGCUAGGGGCUUGUGCAGCACCACCUGUGCCUGCUACUCCCUAGAACUGCCUUUUCAGCAAGCACCAUCUGGGGUGUCACUGCUCUCUGUGGGGGAGGCGACUCCUGCCUGCUACCCAGUGCUGGAAGACUCCCCUUCCCAAGGACCAAGCCUGUGGGGGCUGCAGCAGAACUGAACACGGAUGUUCAGGCGCCCAAGAACAGCCUGGCUCCAGGUACCAAUGGCAAGAGGGUGUCUCACACAUGGGCAAAUUGAGGACGCCUCAGUUUUGUUUGGCUUGUCCUCCAUCUCUUCUCCCAGAAACAGGGCCCUUAUUUUUAUUUAGGGAACUCUUUAUGCUCACUCCAUGUAAUUUGGGUGGGGCUGAACCAACCCUGGAUACAAGAUUGAACACAAGAAACGGACCUGGCCAAUCAGAAAAUUCCAUUUUUCUGGUCACAGUGAUUGGUUCAGAGAUGGGCAUGUGGCCCAAAGUUAAGCCAAUGAACGUCAGCCUCAAGAUUUUUGCUGGUGCUAUCAGGAGAGAGGUGCUGUCUCUGGGCUGGGCUUGUUACCUGCAGAACUACACUUAGAGCUGCUGGUUGACUUUUGUCAAUACAUAGAGCAAGCCAGCCUGAGAACAAAGCUAAGAUGGGUAGAAGUAGAGCCGAGAAUUGGAGACUGGUUCCUGAUGGCAGUGUUUGCACCAGAUUCAUAUCUACCUUUGGCCUUUUCAAUUAAAUAAACUCAA